GAGGAUAUAGCCCAGUGGUAGAGCUAGUGCCUAGCAUGCUCAAGGUCCUGGGUUCAAUCCCUAUUACCUCC
rnacentral:tRNA from 1 species